UACGUAGGGUGCAAGCGUUGUCCGGAAUUAUUGGGCGUAAAGAGCUCGUAGGCGGUUUGUCGCGUCUUCUGUGAAAACUCGGGGCUUAACUCCGGGCCUGCAGUGGGUACGGGCAGACUAGAGUGCGGUAGGGGAGACUGGAAUUCCUGGUGUAGCGGUGAAAUGCGCAGAUAUCAGGAGGAACACCGGUGGCGAAGGCGGGUCUCUGGGCAGUAACUGACGCUGAGGAGCGAAAGCGUGGGGAGCGAACAGG
rnacentral:rRNA from 1 species